rnacentral:rRNA from 1 species
GUUCGAUCAUGGCUCAGAUUGAACGCUGGCGGGAUGUUCCACAUGCAAGUCGAACGGCAGCACGGACUUCGGUCUGGUGGCGAGUGGCGAACAGGUGAGUAAUGUAUCGGAACGUGCCUAAUGUGGGGAUAACUACGCGAAAGCGUGGCUAACCGCCGCAUACGCCUUCGAGGAAAGCGGGGGACGCUGAGCUCGCACUAUUAAAACGACCGAUAUCCGGAUUAGCUGGUUGGUGGGUAACGGCUCACCAAGGCGACGAUCCGUAGCUGGUUUGAGAGGACGACCAGCCGCACUGGGACGAACACGGCCCAGACUCCUACGGGAGGCAGCAGUGAAAUUUUGGACAAUGGAAACCUGAUCCAGCCAUCCCGCGUGUACGAUGAAGGCCUUCGGGUUGUAAAGCACUUUUGGCAGGAAAAAGAAACGGCACGGGAUAAUACCCAUUACAACUGACGAAAUACCUGCAGAAUAAGCGCCGGCUAACUACGUGCCAGCAGCCGCGGUAAUACGUAGGGUACAAGCGUUAAUCGGAAUUACUGGGCGUAAAGCGUGCGCAGGCGGUUCGGAAAGAUGAAAUCCAGAGCUUAACUUUGGAACUGCAUUUUUAACUACCGAGCUAGAGUGUCAGAGGAGGUGGGUAUGCGCUUGGUGAAAUGCGUAGAUAUGCGGAAGACACCGAUGGCGAAGGCAGCCUCCUGGGAUACUGACGCUCUGCACGAAAGCGUGGGGAGCAAACAGGAUUAGAUACCACAGUCCGCCCUAAACGUGUCAACUAGCUGUUGAGGCCUUCGGGCCUUGGUAGCUCAACUAACGCGUGAAGUUGACCGCCUGGGAAAUACAGUCGCAAGAUUAAAACUCAAAGGUGUGGGGACCCGCACAAGCGGUGGAUGAUGUGGAUUAAUUCGAUGCAACGCGAAAAACCUUACCUACCCUUGACAUGUCUGGAAUCCCGAAAAGAUUUGGGAGUGCUCCUCAAAGAAGAACCGGAACACGGGUGCUGCAUGGCUGUCGUCAGCUCGUGUCGUGAGAUGUUGGGUUAGGAUCUGCAACGAGCACGGCCUUGUCAUUAGUUGCUACGAAGGGCACUCUAAUGAGACUGCCGGUGACAAACCGGAGGGAAGGUGGGGAUGACGUCAAGUCCUCAUGGCCCUUAUGGAUGAGGGCUUCACACGUCAUACAAUGGUCGGGACGAAGGGGUCGCCAACCCGCGAGGGGGAACCAAUCCCAGAAACCCGAUCGUAGUCGAGAUCGCAGUCUGCAACUCGACUGCGUGAAGUCGGAAUCGCUAGUAAUCGCGGAUCAGCAUGUCGCGGUGAAUACGUUCGGGUCUUGUACACACCGCCCGUCACACCAUGGGAGUGGGUUUUACCAGAAGUAGUUAGCCUAACCGUAAGGAGGCGAUUACCACCGGUAAAGUUUCAUGACUGGGGUGAAGUCGUAACUCGUCAG